AUUGAACGCUGGCGGCAUGCCUUACACAUGCAAGUCGAACGGUAACAGGUUAAGCUGACGAGUGGCGAACGGGUGAGUAAUGUAUCGGAACGUGCCCAGUCGUGGGUGAUAACUGCUCGCAAGAGCAGCUAAUACCGCAUACGACCUGAGGGUGAAAGCGGGGGAUCGCAAGACCUCGCGCGAUUGGAGCGGCCGAUAUCCGAUUAGGUAGUUGGUGAGGUAAAGGCUCACCAAGCCGACGAUCUGUAGCUGGUCUGAGAGGACGACCAGCCACACUGGGACUGAGACACGGCCCAGACUCCUACGGGAGGCAGCAGUGGGGAAUUUUGGACAAUGGGCGCAAGCCUGAUCCAGCCAUGCCGCGUGCGGGAAGAAGGCCUUCGGGUUGUAAACCGCUUUUGUCAGGGAAGAAAAGGUUCUGGCUAAUACCUGGGACUCAUGACGGUACCUGAAGAAUAAGCACCGGCUAACUACGUG
rnacentral:rRNA from 1 species